UGCCAGCCGCCGCGGUAACACGGGGGGCGCAAGCGUUAUUCGGAAUUAUUGGGCGUAAAGGGCGCGCAGGCGGUCUUGUCCGUCAGGUGUGAAAGCCCACGGCCCAACCACGGAACUGCAUCAGAUACUGGCUGACUUGAGUGCGGUAGAGGCGAGUGGAAUUCCCAGUGUAGCGGUGAAAUGCGUAGAUAUUGGGAAGAACACCAGUGGCGUAAGCGACUCGCUGGGCCGUAACUGACGCUGAGGAACGAAAGCCAGGGGAGCGAAUGGGAUUAGAUA
rnacentral:rRNA from 1 species